rfam:Oryza sativa (indica cultivar-group) chromosome 6, whole genome shotgun sequence.
UUUAAGCGCGGCCACGAGUUUCUAUGUUCAAUUUUGAUUGUUCGUUUUAUUUGAAUUAUUUUUAUUAUUAGUAUUUUUAUUGCUAUUAGAUAAUAAAACAUGAAUUGUAAUUUUAUAUGUGAUCUAUGUUUUUAAUUUUUUUUUUCAAAAACAAAUAAAAUGGACGAUUAAAGUUGGACAUGAAAACUCAUAAUUGGGUUUAAA